rnacentral:rRNA from 1 species
UACCAGCACCCCGAGUGGUCGGGACGUUUAUUGGGCCUAAAGCAUCCGUAGCCGGUUCUACAAGUCUUCCGUUAAAUCCACCUGCUUAACAGAUGGGCUGCGGAAGAUACUAUAGAGCUAGGAGGCGGGAGAGGCAAGCGGUACUCGAUGGGUAGGGGUAAAGUCCGUUGAUCCAUUGAAGACCACCAGUGGCGAAGGCGGCUUGCCAGAACGCGCUCGACGGUGAGGGAUGAAAGCUGGGGGAGCAAACCGG